UUAAGAUCCAAAUCAUAACAGUUGUCUAUU
rnacentral:piRNA from 2 species